rnacentral:rRNA from 1 species
AUUGAACGCUGGCGGCAUGCCUAACACAUGCAAGUCGGACGAGUGGCGGACGGGUGAGUAAUGUAUCGGAACGUACCUAGUGAAGGGGGAUAACUACUCGAAAGGAUAGCUAAUACCGCAUACUAUCGGAGCGGCCCAUGUCGGAUUAGCUGGUGGGGGGGGUAAAGGCCCACCAAGGCGACGAUCCGUAGCGGGUCUGAGAGGAUGAUCCGCCACACUGGAACUGAGACACGGCCCAGACUCCUACGGGAGGCAGCAGUGGGGAAUUUUGGACAAUGGGCGCAAGCCUGAUGCAGCCAUGCCGCGUGUAUGAAGAAGGCCUUCGGGUUGUAAAGGACUUUCGUCAGGGAAGCGGUACCUGCAGAAUAAGCACCGGCUAACUACGUGCCAGCAGCCGCGGUAAUUC